UACUCCUACGGGAGGCAGCAGUGGGGAAUUUUGGACUAUGGGCGCAAGCCUGAUCCAGCAAUGCCGCGUGCAGGAUGAAGGCCUUCGGGUUGUAAACUGCUUUUGUACGGAACGAAAAAGCUCUCUCUAAUACAGGGGGUGAAUGACGGUACCGUAAGAAUAAGCACCGGCUAACUACGUGCCAGCAGCCGCGGUAAUA
rnacentral:rRNA from 1 species